UUUCAUUUCUGUAUGGUAUCAGCCAGGCUUCAAGUAGGAAGAGAGUUUCUCAUCACAUAGUAUUUUUUUCUCACUUCUUUGUAAGCAGGGAAUUUCAUAGAAUCCUAAGGUCUUAUGGUGGCGGGAGAUUUUAUGGGUCAUUUAGAUCAACUGCCUUUGAAUCUCCUCUGCAGUGUGUCCUCCAAAGUCAUCUAUUGCCUGCUUGAAUACUUUGUGUGAUGGGGAAGUCACCACCUCACUUCUACCAUAUACACCCAGGGGGAAACCAGGAUGGCUGCCUACCCAACUAAAUGUGGUCCCUCUAACCCACCGGCAAGUCACUGGGUUAUACAGGAAAUGCAAACCGAAACUGCACUGAGAUUCCACCUCACACCUGUUAGGAUGGCUACUAUGAAAUAAAUAAAUACAGAAAUACAGAGAUAUCAAGUUUAGGCCAGGAUGUGGAAAAGCUGCAACCCUUGUGCACUUUGUUGGUAUAUACCCCAAAGAAGUGAAAGCAAGAUUUAAAGAGAUAUUUGUACACCCAUGUUCAUAGAAACAUUAAUCCUAAUGGCCAAAGAGUGGAAGCAUCCCAAGUGUCUUUUGAGAGAGACACCCUCUUGUACUUCGUUCUUGGGGAAGCCAGGUUCCACACCCCAUGGAUUUGCACUGCAUCCAAGUCUGGAAGUCUGAAUGAACCUGUGGGCUGGCUGCCAGAGCUGUCCUGGUUCUGGACACUGCAGGCAGAGUGGAGGCCAUGCUAACAGACGAGGAGUUAUUGGAGCUGGCAGGGGCAUCUCGAGCUCUCUUUGGGCCAGAGUUGAGUAUCUGGGAGACAAGUGAGAAACUGUGAGACCUCAAAGGGCAUUUCAACUGUGCCAGACACAGAGUCAUAUUAAAGGGAAAAAAUACUAAGUCAAUAGAGAUGGUGUCCAGGCUUGAUAUAACUACUAAUCUGAUGGAACAGCAUGUUCAAAAUGUGACCAUGUAAUGCUGGGAGAUAUGGUCAGACCAAAUUUGGUUGAAAACAAGUGCAGUUGGAAAACUCAGAACUCAUGACUUCAUAACUUUCUCUAUGAUGGGGUCCCUAUGUUGGUAAGGGUAAGUGAUGAUAGCUGCUAUAAUACACCUCAAAUAUCAAUGUUUGGAUUCUUGUACUUUCUCCAUAAGCAUCUUUGCUGCAAGCAUUUUUGCUGCAUAACUAAUUUGCUGUAAAAGAGAAAAUCACAAAAAGUAAAAGAGGGAAUUAAAAAGAAUGUAAUGAAACAUGAAACAUGAAUAACAAAAUAUAUAAGAUUUCAUUGCAAAAUAUAUAAUAUAUGAAUACCUUCAAAUGUGUAUA